CGGAGUUUUACUGUAUAACCUAAACACAAAAACAAGUUGCUAUGAAGCGACCAACAAAUUUGGACUCAAAAUUAGGAGAAGGUUACUAAACAACAGAGGUUCUUGCAAGAGGAGCCAUGGGGGCAAAAAAUCCUAAAUGCCUUUAAGACUAAUUCUGAUAAACUUAUGGAGGGGUGGUAUGAUAGAACUGACUGAUGGCAUGUGGUCCACUGGCGUAAGCCAAUACCAAAAAAUCUCCAGCUGCUGAUAAUGGGAUACUAGAUGAGGAGGGGCUCUCAUUUAUUAGAGAGAAUUCUUUCCCAGUAUCUGCCUGAUACGUCUUCCCCACAUCCAUAGGUGCUAACUGAUCAUCAUUUUUGAGAUCAGGAGGAAAUUUUCCCUGGGUCACAUUGGCAGAGACCAUGCGGGGGUUUUUCACUUUCUUCUACAGCAUGGGGCAUUUGCAGGUUUAAACUAGUGGAAAUAGCAAAAUUUUCUGUAACUUGAAGUCUUAAAAUCAUGAUUUGAGGACUUCAGUAACUGAAAGGUUAGUGGUCAGGAGCAGGCAGAGUUCCAUGGCCAACAAUAUGCAGAAAAUGAAACUAGAUGGUCACAGUGGUUCCUUCUGACCUUGAAGUCUGUAAGUUUGAGGCGUGAAUAGGGAAAAGCAAGUCAAAGAAUAGCUAGACAGACUUAUUUAGUGCGAGAGAUGUGUGAUAUUUUGAGUAUCACCACAGGUCAGUAAUUUUACUUCAACACCAGCAACAGUAUCAGAGCCACACAUUAAUGAAGACUGUUUUUAUAGAAACAAGCCAAACAAUAUAGAUGUGGAGUGGGGUCAGGGCUUGGAGUGGAGGCAGGGGGAGCACUCUCCCCUCCCUCCCCCCCAGCAUAAUAGAAGCUCAGCAUGUACACUCUGUAAUCUACCUGGGUGGAUGGUAUGGUCAGAGGACUUUUUUCUUCAUGAAUGAAAGGAUGAGAUACAGCAUCCUCCUUAUUCUGUCAGUCAUUCCAGAUCAAUGAUUUUGAAUUAAUUGGCAGGGACUGCCUCUGACUGACAUUACCAGGAACAAAUGCUCUAAAGACUGCUAACAAAGAAGCUAAUAAGCACGCAAAAAAAAAAAAAAAAA